rnacentral:rRNA from 1 species
UGGGGAAUAUUGCACAAUGGGCGCAAGCCUGAUGCAGCCAUGCCGCGUGUGUGAAGAAGGCCUUCGGGUUGUAAAGCACUUUCAGCGAGGAGGAAGGUGGUGAGCUUAAUACGCUCAUCAAUUGACGUUACUCGCAGAAGAAGCACCGGCUAACUCCGUGCCAGCAGCCGCGGUAAUACGGAGGGUGCAAGCGUUAAUCGGAAUUACUGGGCGUAAAGCGCACGCAGGCGGUUUGUUAAGUCAGAUGUGAAAUCCCCGGGCUCAACCUGGGAACUGCAUUUGAAACUGGCAAGCUAGAGUCUCGUAGAGGGGGGUAGAAUUCCAGGUGUAGCGGUGAAAUGCGUAGAGAUCUGGAGGAAUACCGGUGGCGAAGGCGGCCCCCUGGACGAAGACUGACGCUCAGGUGCGAAAGCGUGGGGCAGCAAACAGGAUUAGAUACCCUGGUAGUCCACGCUGUAAACGAUGUCGAUUUUGGAGGUUGUGCCCUUGAGGCGUGGCUUCCGGAGCUAACGCGUUAAAUCGACCGCCUGGGGAG